ACCACAAAACCACAAAACCCUAAGACUCUCAGAUGCUUCAGAGAGGGCUUUGAAAAAUUAGAAAAACUGCGCUAUUAUCUGUGUAGUCAUCUUCAUCUUACCACCCCUUUCCUUUAUCUUCGUCUGUGACUUUCUUGUUCCUCUCUAUCGCUCGCUCUCUCUGACGUAUAUGAAGGUAGGGGAUAUGGCGAUUUCAAUAUUGCGAUGAGCUUGAAUUUGACAGAUUUGUGGAAUCCCUUUUGGAGUAAUAAGUUUUUUCUCCAUUUUCAAUUCGAGGUACAUUUUAGAAAGAAAACUAUUUAUCCUUUUUUUAUUUGAAGUUUAGAUUUAUUGGUGAGUUUGAAGUUUGUGUGGAGGUAGUUCAAUAUGUACAGUAUUUACAGGAGACGGUACAGAAGUAUAAGGCAUUAUAUCAACCUUGGGGAGCUUGAAGCCUACAAAUUUUAUGCCAUGAGUAAAUUCUAUACCUACAUCUAUAACUUCUCUAUUCUCAUGAUAACUUUUUUUAUUGUGAACUUUGAAUUGGACUCUCUAGCUAUUAAUUGUACUUAACAUUGACUCUUCUAAAACAAAUUUACUUUUUCUUCAGUUUGUUAAAAUAUUACAAUUUUACAUCAAUUAGGAAUGAUUUGAUUAGGUACUUUCAUUGUGUAAUUUACACCUACUAAAAUUGUACGUACUUUUGAGUACUUUAAAUCCCAACCAAGCUUGGUGGAAAUAAUCAAGCAUUUCAGUACAAUUCUUCAAGGGGAGUUCAUAAUAGGAACCGACACAUUUAGCAUUCAGAGUACUUACUCUUAAGGGUGAGUAAAUUAUAUUAAUUUUAGAGUUUGCAGAAUUAAAUAAAGUGUGUAGCCUCUAUAUAUCUGGCAAGUUUAUUAGUUGUCUACUGAAGGCAUUUGCUUGCUUUUCUUUUGUUAGUCGUUGCAUAUGUUGCUUUGAUGUUUUAAAGGCUAUAGUUCUAAGGUAGUGUUCUGUCAUAGAAUGAUGUUGCAUGAAGAAAUGUGGUAAUAUCUUGAGUCCCUUAUGUAUGCUUUUUUUGUUAUGUUAAAGCUUGUGUAUCUCUCAUUUUAUCAGUAAUUUGGUAUUUUUAACAAUUGCCAUGACUGCUUUAUAUAAUGCUUAAGCCAGCAGGUUGAGUAUCAUACUGUGAAAUCAAAGCUUUCCUUGUUUACUUCUUGGGGCUUGGGAGAACUGUGAUUCAAUUCUUAGCUCACUGGUCUAGCUCACUUUUCUUAAUAAACAGGCAGCUUUAUAUUAAUAUUGGAGUACCAAAAUACCACUACAUACUGGUGAGUAAAAUGCAACAGCUUGAGAAAAUAUUUAUAAAGAAAGAUAGUUCGAAAAUAAGAAAUUAAUUAGACAAAUCUGCUGCAGAAUUUAUUCAUCUAUAAAGGCAGAGGAUUCUAUCAUAAAAUAAAAGGGAAAAGUGAAAUAGUUAACAACAGAAAAUUCUAACACACUUUCCUUUUUAUCAUGUUUUGGUAGGUAUUUCGAAUCAUGUUUAGCACACCUUUUACUAGGUAAAAAGUUCUGAUACUUUACUGUGAAAAUUGUCUCAUUGUGGGGAUGCAAAAUCUCAUUUUUUCCAAAGACUUCGGAACAGAAGUAUCGUUAUUCUUUUAGAUUCAGUUUUCUAUUUUUUUUAAUGUUCUCUCUAUAUUCUUUUGCCAAAUGAAGCUUGCAGAUAUAUUCAUAGCCUUAUAGUGCCACCACAUUGAUAGAAGCAACAUCAAAUGUGUUUUUCCGCAAGUUCAUCUAGACUUGCAAGAAAUGAAACAAGAUCCAUAGGUCCUUACUCUUUUUUUUUCUUUCUAAACUUUAUGGUAGUAGGAUUGUCCGUAUUGUAUAUAAGUUAAUCCAAACAAAUUUACCUAGGGGCUUACAGUGGCCUUGAUAGUCCAUAUUAAAUGAUUUAGUUGAAACACCAUCCAGAACAUUUGAGAGCUUUUAUGCCUUUUCUGAAGAUCUGGAAUCACCCGAUUAAGAUCCUUUUAAGAAAACAAAAGAAGGAAAUGUAAAAUUAAGAUGGCGGCCUUAGGAAAAACUGAGAAAGUAAGGAGACUAUACUUGAAAUUCUAUAUAUGGAUCAAUAAAAAUUAAAUGAAAAGAAGUAGUAGCAAUACAUAUUCUCCAAGUUGAACUUAUAUAAGUGAAACAAAAUUAGUAUAAAAUUAUAAUCAACUCCUUUAUCUCUUUCUCCCUCUUCUAGACAGAUACGCAGCAUUGGAGAAUUUUGGAAAAAAGUCAUUAUACUGUCAUACCUGAAGUAGUUACGAAAUGACUUGAGAAUAGCUAUAUUUCUAAGCUAUAGAGCACUAGAUUCAUGCAGUAAGAUUUGCUUUAGCAGAAAAUCUGUUGCCAAUUGAAAUUUUUUGGUGAAGAAUGCUCAUAAGGCUGAUUUGAUAUGUUUGCUUGUAUGAUGCAUUUACAGAUAUAUUAAAAUACUUCAUAGAUGAGACUAUACAUACUUUUGGGACAUUAAUGAAGCAGAUUUUUGCAAUUUUGCUUGUGUCCCUUUCUGGUUAUGGACUUUUAGUUUCAUAACCUCGCAAACUAUUAUCAGCUUUGUUGUUUGGCAACAUUUACUUCCUAUUGACAUAGUUAUUUUAUAAUUUCAGGUCAUGCAGUCUGAUGUUCGAUAAUUUAGUGGGUGGAAGAUUUCAAUAUGACGAAGAGUUUCAGAGAUUAUUUGAAGAUUGUUAUUUGUUAAGAUUAGUUAUAUAAUGACAUUAGUUAUUUACUUCAAAUAAUAUGAGUUAUUUUUUAAGGUUUUGUGAUAUUAAUCGCUUUUAGUGA